rnacentral:rRNA from 1 species
UACGGGGGAUGCAAGCGUUAUCCGGAAUCAUUGGGCGUAAAGCGCCUGUAGGUGGUUUACUAAGUCUGUUGUUAAAGACUAGGGCUUAACCCUAGAAGAGCAGUGGAAACUGGUAGACUUGAGUUUGAUAGGGGUAGAGGGAAUUUCUAGUGUAGCGGUGAAAUGCGUAGAUAUUAGAAAGAACACCGGUGGCGAAGGCGCUCUACUGGAUCAUUACUGACACUCAGAGGCGAAAGCUAGGGUAGCAAAAGGGAUUAGAUACCCCUGUAGUCUUAGCCGUAAACGAUGGAUACUAGAUGUUGCGUUUUUAUGCAGUGUCGUAGCUAACGCGUUAAGUAUCCCGCCUGGGGAGUACGCUCGCAAGGGUG